GAAGCCGAGCUCAUCUGGAUUCUCACCAUGGCCUGGGCCCCUCUGCUCCUCGCGCUGCUCACGUACUGCUCAGGGGUCAGUUCGCAGCCCGUGGUGACUCAGGAGCCCUUGAUGUCGGUGGCCCCAGGAGGGGCUGUCACUCUGUCCUGCAGCCUGAGCACUGGAGCCGUCACCACCAGCAACUAUCCAGCCUGGUACCAGCAGAAACCUGGCUCUGCUCCGAAGCUGCUUAUAUACAGCACCAAUAGCAGACCCUCCGGGAUCCCUGCCCGGUUCUCGGGGUCCAUCUCCGGUAACAACGCUGCCCUGACCAUCACCGCUGUCCAGGCAGAGGAUGAGGCUGAUUAUUACUGUACUGUGUAUACGGGUAGCAGUAGUAGUUGGUCUCACAGAACAGCUUUCCGUGCCCUGUAG